UACGUAGGGUGCGAGCGUUGUCCGGAAUUAUUGGGCGUAAAGGGCUCGUAGGCGGUUUGUCGAGUCGGGAGUGAAAACCCAGGGCUUAACCCUGGGCUGGCUUUCGAUACGGGCAGACUAGAGGUAUGCAGGGGAGAACGGAAUUCCUGGUGUAGCGGUGAAAUGCGCAGAUAUCAGGAGGAACACCGGUGGCGAAGGCGGUUCUCUGGGCAUUACCUGACGCUGAGGAGCGAAAGUGUGGGGAGCGAACAGG
rnacentral:rRNA from 1 species